rnacentral:lncRNA from 1 species
CCUGAAGCUCGCGCUGCCCGGUCGGGCUGCCUGGAGGCGGAGCGGCGCGCUCGGCCGGCGCUGAAGAGCUCGCGGGCGGCCGCGUCCUUGGCCCGGUUGCUUCGACGACGCUUCCCCGCGAGAAGCGGCUCCGGGUCCCGUCCUCCAGAAAUCCGGAGCUUUCCGGCCAAACUUCAAGAAGCUGCAGGCCACCAGCGCAUGGCUUCCAUCCCUGGACCUUUCUUUCCCCCCAAGGGAUUCCCUGGAGGGAGGGGCCUCCUGAGGGCCAGGCUGUCAUUUAACCUUUUGUCGCGUCUUCAUUUUUGUUCCUAGCCCAGCAGGAACCGCCAGUUCUGCAGCCUCAUGAAUAGAACCGAGCAUUUGAUCUGAAAUUGUUUUUCAAUAGCUGUAUCUUCUUCUCUGUUAUUGCUUUACAUGGCAUAUGUUUGUACAAUAUUGAAAAUCAAUAAAAGUACAAAAAUGUUUCGUCUUCUUUUUAAA